AACGUAGGAGGCAAGCGUUAUCCGGAUUUAUUGGGCGUAAAGCGCGUGCAGGCUGUUUGGAAAGUUGGAUGUGAAAGCUCCUGGCUUAACUGGGAGAGGUCGUUCAAAACUACCAAACUAGAGAAUGGGAGAGGGAAGUGGAAUUCCGGGUGUAGUGGUGAAAUGCGUAGAUAUCCGGAGGAACACCAGUGGCGAAAGCGGCUUCCUGGACCAUUUCUGACGCUUAGACGCGAAAGCUAGGGGAGCGAACGGGAUUAGAGACCCCGGUAGUCCUAGCUGUAAACGAUGUAGACUUGGCGUUGGCGGAGUUAAAUCUGCCAGUGCCGGAGCAAACGCGUUAAGUCUACCGCCUGGGGACUACGACCGCAAGGUUAAA
rnacentral:rRNA from 1 species